rnacentral:rRNA from 1 species
UACGUAGGGCGCAAGCGUUGUCCGGAAUUAUUGGGCGUAAAGAGCUCGUAGGCGGUUUGUCGCGUCUGCUGUGAAAUCUCAAGGCUCAACCUUGAGCUUGCAGUGGGUACGGGCAGACUAGAGUGUGGUAGGGGGAGACUGGAAUUCCUGGUGUAGCGGUGAAAUGCGCAGAUAUCAGGAGGAACACCGGUGGCGAAGGCGGGUCUCUGGGCCGAAACUGACGCUGGAGG